ensembl:lncRNA
AUGAGGUCAGCAGACAGACGCUCGGAUCCUUCUGCAUCUCUCAGACGUCGAGCCUCUGCUAAGAAAACACAGCAAGCUUCAGCAGUUCAGAAGAUUCAUGUGAGAUCAGACGUUCAUCAGCGCGUGAUACUGAUGCUCAGUGGUGUGUGUUUACUGAGCUCGUCAGGAUCACUGAACACGGCGUCUGUCAUAAAACUCCCGCUGAUCAAUACGGUCCGAUCUGCUGAGAUCAUGAUCAUGUUUUCAUCCGUAUGCCGACACACACCUGAGAUAAGAGUCAAGCUGUCACUGCGUUCCAUCAG